AUGGCACCUUUACAGAGCGCUUGGUUGCCCUGGUUACUACCAACGGGGAAGACACGAGGUCCCACGAUCACCUUUUCGCCGGUUUUGUCUAGUCUAGACUGGUCGAGAUGGAGAAAAAUCAUACAGCCAUUUCGAUUGGACCCAUUACAAAUGUAUGUUCUUCCUCUGGAUUUGGAGAGCUUCUUUCUCAUAAGUCUUCUUCCUCAUAAUAAGGAUUGUCCUGGAUCAUUGCACUGCUGCUAGUGGAGAAGUCAGUUACAUUCGACUGUUCCACAGCGUAUCCAUCUCUGUGUACAAGGUUCUCCUCCUGGUUCUGCUCCUCUCGCUCUGCAUCAGUUCAUGGAGGUCUUAACAAAAGGCAGAAAGACCCAGCUUGGGAAGGGGGAAUGGUAGCCACCCUAACCUGGAAAGAGGUUGUUUUGCAGGAAGCCAAGGGAAAAUGAUUAUAUGUAGAAAAGCUCCUAAAAUUAAUUUGAUUCAAUAUUAAUUUUCCUCAAAGAUGAAGAAAGAAAAUUCCUAAAAUAGCAUCUACCUCCCAGGUUUGUGAGAUUAAAUGAUUUACUAUUUGUAAAGCUCUGAGUAUAGUGCCUGGCAUAUAUGUAUAUUAUAUGUAUAUAUAUGUGUGUGUGUGUAUAUAGAAACCACUGAUUAUUAGAGAAAUACAAAAUUUAAAACAAUCCCGUAGUUCACCCUUAUUAGAUUAGCUAAAAUGUCAAAAAAAGAAAAAUGGCAAAAUGGAGGGG
rnacentral:lncRNA from 1 species